rnacentral:rRNA from 1 species
GACGAACGCUGGCGGCGUGCUUAACACAUGCAAGUCGAACGGAAAGGCCCUGCUUUUGUGGGGUGCUCGAGUGGCGAACGGGUGAGUAACACGUGAGUAACCUGCCCUUGACUUUGGGAUAACUUCAGGAAACUGGGGCUAAUACCGGAUAGGAGCUCCUGCUGCAUGGUGGGGGUUGGAAAGUUUCGGCGGUUGGGGAUGGACUCGCGGCUUAUCAGCUUGUUGGUGGGGUAGUGGCUUACCAAGGCUUUGACGGGUAGCCGGCCUGAGAGGGUGACCGGCCACAUUGGGACUGAGAUACGGCCCAGACUCCUACGGGAGGCAGCGGUGGGGAGUAUUGCACAAUGGGCGGAAGCCUGAUGCAGCAACGCCGCGUGCGGGAUGACGGCCUUCGGGUUGUGAACCGCUUUCGCCUGUGACGAAGCGUGAGUGACGGUAAUGGGUAAAGAAGCACCGGCUAACUACGUG